rnacentral:rRNA from 1 species
GUCCGGAUUGGAGUCUGGAUUGGAGUCUGCAACUCGACUCCAUGAAGUCGGAAUCGCUAGUAAUCGUAGAUCAGAAUGCUACGGUGAAUACGUUCCCGGGCCUUGUACACACCGCCCGUCACACCAUGGGAGUGGGUUGCAAAAGAAGUAGGUAGCUUAACCUUCGGGAGGGCGCUUACCACUUUGUGAUUCAUGACUGGGGUGAAGUCGUAACAAGGUAACCGUAGGGGAACCUGCGGUUGGAUCACCUCCUUA